AAUAAUAAUAAUAAUAAUAAUAAUAAUAAUAAUAAUAAUAAAAUAUAAAAUUUAAAUAAAUAUUUUCUAAUUGUUUCUAAAGCACAAAUUUAUAUAUAUUCUAAAUAUAUAAGCAGUUUACAAAAAGAAACAAAACUGAAAGCGCGCUUUUCUUAUUCUUACUCUACGUUUACCUUUCUUUUAAAAAAUGUUUCAUUUAAAAUUCAUUAGCAAAAUACAUUAUCCUUUCAUACGAAAAAUUACCAGAAGAAGCCUUUAUACAGUAAGCAAAAAAAUAGAUAAAAAAACGAACGAGCGAGCAAAAUAAUAGACGAAAAAAAAAAAAAAAAAUUUCAUACAUAUAAUUUAAUUUAAAAAAAAUUACCAUAAGUGAAAAGUGAAUAUGUUAGUACAUUUAAAAAAUAAAAACGAAUAAUAUACAUAUAUAUAUAUAUAUAUAUAUGUACAAAUUUAAAUAAACACAAAUAAUUUAAAAAAUAGAAUAAAACCAUAUAUUUUUUUUUUCAAUUGCAGGAAAUAAUAAGUAUAGAUGAUUAUUUAGCAAAAGUAAAUUCAGAUAAGUUAGUUGUAGCCCAAUUUGGAGCUUCAUGGUGUGCUCCUUGCAACAAAUUAAAGCCAGUGGUAUGUUCUUUAAAAACAAAAAAAAAAAAAACAUAAGUUCAUACUUAUGUACGUAAACUCAAACAUAUAUACUUAUGUUUGUAAAUGUUGUUAAUAAAUCUAAUAUAUAUAUAUAUACAUUUUAAGAUUAAAAAAAUAGGUGAAGAUAAUGAAAAUGUUGAGACCUUAUUUAUAGACAUCGACGAAUUGCCUGAAUUAGCAGAGAAUGAAGACAUAAAUGAACUACCAACAGUUUUACUGCGAAGAAGUGGAAAGUAUUUAGAUAAAAUAGUAGGUAAGGUUUUAUUUACAUAACUAUUCAAUUUAUUCAUUCAUAUAUAUACAUGUUUUUGAUGUAAAUAUAUGCACGUGCACUAACUAUAUAUAAAUGUAUAUAUAUUGCAUAUCUAUACUUUUUUUUUUUUAGGAUUAAAUGAACAGGAAUUAAAAAAGAGCAUACAGAAACACCAACAAGACUGAUGAUAAGGAGUGUAUAUAUGCAUAUUCAGUUCUGCCUUUGGAUAUAUAUAUAUAUAUAUAUAUACACAUGAACAUGUACAUGUAAACCUUAUAAACACUUAUAUAUUAUGCUCCUUAAAGGUACAACACAAUUUC
rnacentral:lncRNA from 1 species